rnacentral:rRNA from 1 species
GUGGGGAAUAUUCCGCAAUGGACGAAAGUCUGACGGAGCAACGCCGCGUGAGUGAUGAAGGUUUUCGGACUGUAAAGCUCUGUUGUUUGGGACGAAAGUGCCUGUUGCGAACAGUUACGGGUAUUGACGGUACUAAACGAGGAAGCCACGGCUAACUACGUGCCAGCAGCCGCGGUAAUACGUAGGUGGCAAGCGUUGUCCGGAAUUAUUGGGCGUAAAGAGCAUGUAGGCGGGAAUCUAAGUCUGUUGUUAAAAUGCGGGGCUCAACCCCGUAUUGCGAUGGAAACUGGGUUUCUUGAGUGCAGGAGAGGAAAGGGGAAUUCCCAGUGUAGCGGUGAAAUGUGUAGAUAUUGGGAGGAACACCAGUGGCGAAGGCGCCUUUCUGGACUGUGUCUGACGCUGAGAUGCGAAAGCCAGGGUAGCGAACGGGAUUAGAAACCCUGGUAGUCC